CAGACUCGGGAGCAGCACCAGAGCCUCCUGCAAGAUGCUGGUGGUCCUGCUGACAGCGGCCCUGCUGGCCCUGAGCUCAGCUCAGAGCUCAUACGAAGGGGUCACCUGGGAAGACUCUUCCUCGCUAGUGUCAGAUUUUGAGGACCAACGCCAGGGCUUUGAUCUGGCGCGUGAGACUCCAGUAGAUGAUGAUAAAGAUGAAGGCAAUGGUGAAGAUGAAGGCGAUGGGGAAGAUGAUGGUGAUGGCAAAGAUGAGGGUGAUGAUAAACCUGAGAAACCACCCAAGCCACAUCCUCGUCCACCUGGACCUCCUCCUCCUGGACCACAUCCAAAACCACCCCAAGAAGGAGGCCAUCCAAAGCCUCCUAAACCUCGUCCAUCUCCUCCUCCUGGACAGCAACAGGAACCACCAGAAAAAGAAGAUGAGAAGCAGAAACGCAUUACUCGUUCCUUAAAUAAGCAAGCAAGGUCCACCCCCACCAGGAGGCCCACAGCAGCCCAAUCGUCCUCCUCGUCCUGGAAACCAGCAAGGUCCACCCCAGUAAGAAGAGUGAAUGAGAAGGUGACGUCCUUCAGAACAAGACCCCAUUGGAAGAAUGCAGUCAUAACGGCAUCAUCAAUAGUCUAAUAAAAUAA
rnacentral:lncRNA from 1 species